rnacentral:rRNA from 1 species
UACGUAGGGACCAAGCGUUGUUCGGAUUUACUGGGCGUAAAGGGCGCGUAGGCGGCCUAGCAAGUCACUUGUGAAAUCUCCGGGCUUAACUCGGAACUGCCAAGUGAAACUGCUGGGCUAGAGUGCAGAAGGGGCAACUGGAAUUCUCGGUGUAGCGGUGAAAUGCGUAGAUAUCGAGAGGAACACCUGCGGCGAAGGCGGGUGCUGGGCUGACACUGACGCUGAUGCGCGAAAGCUAGGGGAGCGAAGCGGG